rnacentral:rRNA from 1 species
UUUUAUCAGAGAGUUUGAUCCUGGCUCAGGAUGAACGCUGGCGGCGUGCUUAACACAUGCAAGUCGAACGGGAAUUACUUUAUUGAAACUUCGGUCGAUAUGAUUUAAUUCUAGUGGCGGACGGGUGAGUAACGCGUGGGUAACCUGCCUUGUACAGGGGGAUAACAGUCAGAAAUGACUGCUAAUACCGCAUAAGCGCACAGAGCUGCAUGGCUCGGUGUGAAAAACUCCGGUGGUAUAAGAUGGACCCGCGUUGGAUUAGCUAGUUGGUGAGGUAACGGCCCACCAAGGC